ACGGCGAAUUGUAGUUUCGAGAAGUACUUUCCCGGCGCAUCGAGUUUGCCUAAGUUGCUUGGAACAGCACGUCAUAGAGGGUGACAACCCCGUACGUGGCAAUGCUCGAGCGCUCGCGAUGUGCUUUCGAAGAGUCGGGUUGUUUGGGAAUGCAGCCCAAAACGGGUGGUAAACUCCAUCUAAAGCUAAAUAUAGGCACGAGACCGAUAGCGAACAAGUACCGUGAGGGAAAGAUGAAAAGGACUUUGAAAAGAGAGUUAAAAAGUACGUGAAACCGUUGAAAGGGAAGCGAAUGGAGUUAGCAAUUCGCCCUGCCAGAUUCAGUUGCUCGUGCUUCGCGACGCACGCGCUCUCGAUCCGCAUGGACGAGACGUGUGCGGGUGCGUUGUGCGGUCGGCGCACUUCUGGCGAGCGAGCGUCAGCGUCGGCUGUCGACGGGCGACAAGGACACGAGGAAGGUGGACCGGCGUUUACCGCCGGUUGUUAAGCCUCGUGCUCGCAUAGCUCGACGACGACCGUGGCUCGGCGACGCGUGCCUGGCUGGCGACUCGAACGAUCGGUCCGGCAUGUCGA
rnacentral:rRNA from 1 species